AAAGUCGUAACAAGGUUUCCGUAGGUGAACCUGCGGAAGGAUCAUUAAUAGAGCGGUCGCGAGCCCCCGAGGAUUUCCUCGGAAGGCGAACGAACUCUCCACCCCUUGAUUUAUUGUACCUACUGUUGCUUUGGCGGGUCGCGGUCCCUCCGGGGACCCCGUUGGCUCCGGCCGGCGAGCGCCCGCCGACGGCCACAUCAAAAACUCUUGAAGUAAAACCUUGAAGUCUGAAAAUAAAAACUAUGAAAAUAGCCUAAAACUUUCAACAACGGAUCUCUUGGUUCUG
rnacentral:misc_RNA from 1 species